GUGGGGAAUAUUGCACAAUGGGCGCAAGCCUGAUGCAGCGACGCCGCGUGCGGGAUGACGGCCUUCGGGUUGUAAACCGCUUUCAGCAGGGAAGAAGCCUUGAGUUUUCUUGGGGUGACGGUACCUGCAGAAGAAGCGCCGGCUAACUACGUGCCAGCAGCCGCGGUAAUACGUAGGGCGCGAGCGUUAUCCGGAAUUAUUGGGCGUAAAGAGCUCGUAGGCGGUUUGCCGCGUCUGCUGUGAAAGCCCGGAGCUCAACUCCGGGUGUGCAGUGGGUACGGGUAGACUGGAGUGCAGUAGGGGAGACUGGAAUUCCUGGUGUAGCGGUGAAAUGCGCAGAUAUCAGGAGGAACACCGAUGGCGAAGGCAGGUCUCUGGGCUGUUACUGACGCUGAGGAGCGAAAGCAUGGGGAGCGAACAGGAUUAGAUACCCGUGUAGUCC
rnacentral:rRNA from 1 species